CACGUAGGGGGCGAGCGUUGUCCGGAAUUAUUGGGCGUAAAGAGCUCGUAGGCGGUCUGUCGCGUCUGCUGUGAAAACCUAGGGCUUAACUCUGGGCGUGCAGUGGGUACGGGCAGGCUAGAGUGCGGUAGGGGAGACUGGAAUUCCUGGUGUAGCGGUGAAAUGCGCAGAUAUCAGGAGGAACACCGGUGGCGAAGGCGGGUCUCUGGGCCGUAACUGACGCUGAGGAGCGAAAGCAUGGGGAGCGAACAGG
rnacentral:rRNA from 1 species